rnacentral:rRNA from 2 species
AGAGUUUGAUCCUGGCUCAGGAUGAACGCUGGCGGCGUGCCUAAUACAUGCAAGUCGAACGAGUUCUCGUUGAUGAUCGGUGCUUGCACCGAGAUUCAACAUGGAACGAGUGGCGGACGGGUGAGUAACACGUGGGUAACCUGCCCUUAAGUGGGGGAUAACAUUUGGAAACAGAUGCUAAUACCGCAUAGAUCCAAGAACCGCAUGGUUCUUGGCUGAAAGAUGGCGUAAGCUAUCGCUUUUGGAUGGACCCGCGGCGUAUUAGCUAGUUGGUGAGGUAAUGGCUCACCAAGGCGAUGAUACGUAGCCGAACUGAGAGGUUGAUCGGCCACAUUGGGACUGAGACACGGCCCAAACUCCUACGGGAGGCAGCAGUAGGGAAUCUUCCACAAUGGACGCAAGUCUGAUGGAGCAACGCCGCGUGAGUGAAGAAGGCUUUCGGGUCGUAAAACUCUGUUGUUGGAGAAGAAUGGUCGGCAGAGUAACUGUUGCCGGCGUGACGGUAUCCAACCAGAAAGCCACGGCUAACUACGUGCCAGCAGCCGCGGUAAUACGUAGGUGGCAAGCGUUAUCCGGAUUUAUUGGGCGUAAAGCGAGCGCAGGCGGUUUUUUAAGUCUGAUGUGAAAGCCCUCGGCUUAACCGAGGAAGCGCAUCGGAAACUGGGAAACUUGAGUGCAGAAGAGGACAGUGGAACUCCAUGUGUAGCGGUGAAAUGCGUAGAUAUAUGGAAGAACACCAGUGGCGAAGGCGGCUGUCUGGUCUGUAACUGACGCUGAGGCUCGAAAGCAUGGGUAGCGAACAGGAUUAGAUAC